UACGGAAGGCAGCAGUGGGGAAUAUUGCACAAUGGGCGAAAGCCUGAUGCAGCUAUGCCGCGUGUAUGAAGAAGGCCUUAGGGUUGUAAAGUACUUUCAUCGGGGAGGAAAAACAAAACUAAUAAUUUUAUUUCUUGACGUUACCCGAAAAAGAAGCACCGGCUAACUCCGUGCCAGCAGCCGCGGUAAUACGGAGGGUGCUAGCGUUAAUCAGAAUUACUGGGCGUAAAGAGCACGUAGGUGGUUUUUUUAAAGUCAGAUGUGAAAUCCCUGGGCUUAACCUGGAACUGCAUUUUGAAACUGAAAUACUAGAGUAUCGUAGAGGGAGGUAGAAUUCUAGGUGUAGCGGUGAAAUGCGUAGAUAUCUGGAGGAAUACCUGUGGCGAAAGCGGCCUCCUAAACGAAUACUGACACUGAGGUGCGAAAGCGUGGGGAGCGAAACAGGGAUUAGGAUACC
rnacentral:rRNA from 1 species